GGCUCAGGACGAACGCUGGCGGCGUGCCUAACACAUGCAAGUCGAGCGAAUGAAGUUCCUUCGGGAACGGAUUUAGCGGCGGACGGGUGAGUAACACGUGGGCAACCUGCCUCAUAGAGGGGAAUAGCCUUCCGAAAGGGAGAUUAAUACCGCAUAAGAUUAUAGUACCGCAUGGUACAGCAAUUAAAGGAGCAAUCCGCUAUGAGAUGGGCCCGCGGCGCAUUAGCUAGUUGGUGAGGUAACGGCUCACCAAGGCGACGAUGCGUAGCCGACCUGAGAGGGUGAUCGGCCACAUUGGGACUGAGACACGGCCCAGACUCCUACGGGAGGCAGCAGUGGGGAAUAUUGCACAAUGGGGAAACCCUGAUGCAGCAACGCCGCGUGAGUGAUGACGGCCUUCGGGUUGUAAAGCUCUGUCUUCAGGGACGAUAAUGACGGUACCUGAGGAGGAAGCCACGGCUAACUACGUG
rnacentral:rRNA from 1 species